rnacentral:rRNA from 1 species
UACAGAGGGGGCAAGCGUUGUUCGGAAUUACUGGGCGUAAAGGGCGCGUAGGCGGCCUGUUAAGUCGAACGUGAAAUCCCCGGGCUCAACCCGGGAACUGCGUCCGAUACUGGCAGGCUUGAAUCCGGGAGAGGGAUGCGGAAUUCCAGGUGUAGCGGUGAAAUGCGUAGAUAUCUGGAGGAACACCGGUGGCGAAGGCGGCAUCCUGGACCGGCAUUGACGCUGAGGCGCGAAAACCAGGGGAGCAAACGGG